CAGUGAUAAAGCCCUGAGUCAUUUCACCCAUAAGACAGGAAUUGAUCACACUGAAACAGAUGCCUCUGUGCAUACAGAAACAGGGGAAAUGAUGUUGCAGUAGGAAGAACAGUGCAGCCUGCGUGGCACUGAGAAAAAGCUGACAGGCUAAAUGCAGGCUUAAAAGGAGCCAGAACUGCAAGCAUGGUUCUUGCUGUCUUGAAGGAAACAGCACUGUGUUCUUUUGGAAACAAGCAAGAUGACAUCCAAGACACUGCUGAUGCAAUUUUUCCUCCCAACAAGCGCACCCCAAAGGAUCCUGAGAUUUGGCUGAAGCCUAGAUGGCAGCAGAGGGGCAAUCUGAUGUAGCGGCAUCUGAUGGGGAAAAGUAUGUGAUGGAAAAGCGUUAAACUGAAUUUCUCCAUGUGGAGAAAAUUGGAGCCACGGACCUUCAUUGUUUCUUGCUGAACAUUUAUGGAGACCAAACAGUGGAUAUGAGCGAAGUGAUAUGUUGCAUUUCAGCAGUGGUGACAGCAACAUGGAAGACAAACCGUAAUCUGGAUGGCCAUGCACAGCUGUCACACCACAAAAUGAAGAGCAUCUUGAUCAGCUCAUCCACAUUAACAGGCAGAUUACAGCAAGAGAAAUGUGCAGAACCGAAUAUUGGUUUCAGCGUGUUGGAAACAGUAAUGGCAAUGUUGCAAUAUCACAAAGUUUGUGCCAGAUGGAUCCCAAAAGUGCUCACACGGGAACAUCAUUUGCAAGUUUGUCAGGAUCUGUUGAACCAAUAUGAGGCUGAAGGUGACAGUUUUCUGGAUUGCAUCAUUACUGGUGAUGAGAUGUGAUGUCACUACCACAAGCUUUAGCCAAAACAGCAGUGCACUGAGUGGUGAUGUGAAUUCCCCACUAAAGAAAAAGUUAAAUAUGGUAAAGUGAUGAACCCUGACCUUUGGGAUAGGAAAGAGGUGAUUCUUCUGGAUUCCUUGAAACCCAAACAAAUCAUCAACUCUGACCACUACGUCAUUAUGUUGACUAAGCUGAAGGCUCAAAGUUCCAGAGUCAGGUCAGAGUCAGAAGGAAAAAAAACCUUUCUCCUACAGUGCAAUAACAGCAGGCCCCUUUCCUGUUUAAAGACCGUGGAGCACAGUGCUGACCUUGAGUGGACUGUCUUACCACACCCAAUGUAAGGUCCGGAUUUGGUGCCUUCUGACGUCUGUUUGUUUGGGCCAAUGAAACAUGAAUUGUGUGGAGAGUAUUUUCCUAUCAACAAUGCAUUCAUAGCAGCUGUGAAACAGGGGGUCACCUCCACUGGUGCUGGUUUUUAUGAGCACAAAAUGCAGCAGCUGAGAGCAUGAUUCCAGUGCUCAGGUCUGCAGAACUCAGAAGAAAUAUUUCAAUAUCUGCUAAAUGUAUGUGCUUAAGGAGUGUUCACAAUAGUGAACUUCAGUAUUCCCUACAAAUGGCAGCAAACACCUCUGGAGGAAAAUACCUAAAGGUGUCUGAAGGAACAAGUUUGAUUAUGUUUUUAUCCAAGGUUUACAUAGUGAUAUUUAUAAAUGUAAUUAACAGUAAGUGUAGCUUUAUUUUUAAUUUAUAUUUAUAGAUAAAAGGAUUUAAAAUGUAUCUUUGUUUCUGAUGGAAACAUGGCACUCAUAAUUGGGGUCUAAAGUGAGACUGAGAAUGGAGGAACAGGCUGAUGGAUGAGUUUCAGCAUUACUGAAGGCCAGGACAGCUCACAUGGAAGAAACCUCGGGUAACAACCUCAGACAGGAAAAUGCUUAUCUGGAUUUUUGCAUGGCUUAGAUACUGAAGUCAGUGACUGACAAGACUGAAAGCUAUAGUAAAGCGUGCUUCACUAAUCUGAUGACUACCAAGCUGUUUUUCAAGGAAUGAUAAUGUUGAAUUACUUUACGUUUUUCAUAGGAACUCGAAACAUGAAAGUUAUGUAAGUUAUAUAUGGAGGUCAUAUACACUGCUAUAAUUGUUACUAUUGAGUAUUCUAACAAAAAGUAACAUGUGAUAGUUUUGUUUUUGUUUGUUUGUUUGUUUUAUAAUUAAUGAAGCCUAAGGAAGGAGGUUAGAUUUCUGCCUCCACAUACAGAGGAAAAAUGAAUUUAUUUUGAAACCAGCAAAAACACCUUCAUCCUAGCUGGGCUGUCUGUGAACGGAUUUAUUACAAAUUAUUGUCAGAGAAUUGUGACCAGCAUUGAAAUAAGUUUACCUGCUUGAGAUUUGUGUGUGUGUGUUUGUAAUGCUGGUGCUAAGACUGAACAUCUGCUGUGUACCUGUUGGUAGUGAGUGUUAGCAAGGGUAAAACAAUCUUUCCCUUCUUGCACUUUCCUUUGCUGGAAUGAAGGUCUGUUCUGUAAAAUAUAGGGGGAGGGACAGAAAUAUGUAAAUCAACUUAUAGUAAUGGAUUACAUUGCCUUACUAAGCUACUUCGCUAUCUUAGUUCUAUCUCUGUAUUGUUAAAAACAAGCAUAAGUUUGUCACAAUUCUUAGACUGGGAACUCUGCAUUAUUUUGACCAAGCCUGAGGUGCUAGUCAAUAGCUCCGUCAGUGGAUGGCAGACCAAAGACUUUGACAGGCAAUCCCUAAGUUCUGGAAAAAACAUUUCAGAUAAUUGUAGGCAACAAUACAGAGUUGUUGGACUAAGAAAUAGUCAAACUCCAUCACUGCUGGUACAAAGUAGUGUUAGUGAAGAGGAUCACCUGUCCUGAAAUGCAGCCAGCACGCAUCUGUUUCCUCUGUGUAGAACUUCUGGAAACAAAGCAAAUUAACUUUUGAAAAAUGGUUUUGGGGAAAACUUCAAGAAAUAAACUAUUGGAAAACCAGUAGUACAGAAGAACCUCAAAGUAAGUGAAGAAGUUCAGAUCUCCACCACAUGCUUAAGAGUGCUUUAUAAAUACAAAUGUACAGUUUCCACAAGCCAAUGACAAAGGUCAUUUAAAUGCUCUAUUUUCUCCACUGAGAUGAAUGCCUUAACCACUGCAGGCUACAUAAUAUUCUGAGGUUGCCCUCUUGUUGGACCCUUUAUACAAACAGCAAAACAGCAGAAUGAUUGGGAUGUUUGGCACUACAAUGGCAAUUCUAAUUCCUUCAGAAAAUAAUGGACAUGCUUACAUUGUCUACAGUUAGAGCAGCUAUCAAUGAGACAAUUGAAGUCUCUAGUUUCCUACAGUUUUGACAAUCAUUUUGUCUUAAUAUAUAUUAUCCCUUUUCACUCAGUUGUUCAAUUAAUUUGACUUGAAUGUCUAGACAACUUUGGAAUUACCUACAAUAUUUUCAAAUAGUGACGUUUUGCAAAGCUCUAGUUAUCAGCAUAGCACAAAAAGACACAGAAUUAAAUCAAAGAACCAUUCAUUUUCCACAUUUGUCUGUAUUAUCUGGAAAUAUUCAUUGUGGUGGAUGCCAGUAUGAGCUGAUAAUUUUCUAAUGUAACAAGAUAAACAUCUACAUCUGAAGUAAUGCUACACUGGAUUUUAUUGUAUUGAUUGCAUCAGUGUACUAGAAGUUUGUGGUUGCUUAGAGAAACAAAGAUACCAAUGACAGGACUAGUGGCAAAAGAAGGUGUGCUUAGAGAAACCAAGGAUAAGAGAGGUGUGAGACUUCAUUUUAAGAUAUACAAGGAAUACAUUCCUAUAAGUACCAUAUGGACCAAAACCCAGGCUUUCUCACCUUUCUGAGGAGCUAGCCAUUGCAGGGAAUAUUUAAAGCCUCUAUCUAGAGGUGGGACUAAAUCAAAUUCUCUUCCCCCUCCAACUAUUUCAGCUGAACAAAAUGAUUACGUGCCAAUGUUAUGUUUGGCAUACUGUAGAAGUGUCACAGGUUAACCAAAAAUCUACCUGCGCCCAUGACAGGGGGGUGGCUGGCCCGCAGGGCCGCUAGCCCAAAAGGAAAGGGAAAAGUUAAUUAGGAAAAAAACAACGGCAAUGAUCUAAGGAGGCACACUUCUUUACUAAAUACUAU